GAAGGCCACUGGGUUGGUCAGACAGGAUUUUUCCCCUGGAGAAGCUGUGCUGGCUGUCCCAAAUCACCUCCCUGUCCUCCAUGUGCCUCAGCAGAGCUUGUGGGAGGGUCUGUUCCAUGAUCUUCCCAGGCACAGAGAGCCUGGGAGAAAGGGAUGCUGUUCUGACAUCCCAUCUGCAGCCCUGACUGUUGUCCAUCAACCAAGAAAAACAUCAUAGCAGAACAUUUGCUGGCUGACUUGUGGUUUCUGAUCCAACUGGUUCCUGGUAAAAUAAACCAGAUUAGUUUUAACUAA